rnacentral:misc_RNA from 1 species
GCUAAAUUCUGUUCCUGAAGCUGUCAAUGCUGUUGCAAGUGAUCUCAUUUGCUCUAAUCUCCUUUCAGGAUCUUCACUUGGAUUGAAAGGCAAUAACUUUCUUUUCUUUUUCGACAUGACUAAGCUGCUAGACCGCUUUCUUUUCUUCAGGCUAUCAUGACUUAGCUUCCCAGUCGAUUCUGGGGACCUUUGAAUGCGAAAGAAAUCAAUGAUUUUGGUUUGAACGAGAGGGAAGGACUUGGGUUUUUUGCAGUCGGAGCAAGAAGGACAAAACCAAGACCCUUUGGGCACGGAAACGAGUAUGGGUCUUAAGCAAAAGAGAUGAUACCCUCUGUCACAUUUGUCACAAAGAAGCAGUUCAGCCGGAGAAUGGCCGGACCCACAUUCCAUGCAGCAAACGUCGUCGUAUUCGGUGGCAUGAUCUGCAUAUAGAGAGCGAGAGAGAGGGUUUGGAGCUUGAGUUCUGCGCCUAAGUGCCAUUACCGUUGUGGUUUUGGUUUUUGCUGAA